rnacentral:rRNA from 1 species
UACGUAGGCAGCAAGCGUUGUUCGGAGUUACUGGGCGUAAAGGGUGUGCAGGCGGUUCUUUAAGUUUGGUGUGAAAUCUCCCGGCUCAACUGGGAGGGUGCGCCGAAUACUGAGGGACUAGAGUACGGGAGAGGAAAGUGGAAUUCCUGGUGUAGCGGUGAAAUGCGUAGAUAUCAGGAGGAACACCGGUGGUGUAGACGGCUUUCUGGACCGUAACUGACGCUGAGACACGAAAGCGUGGGUAGCAAACAGG